UUGAUUGGUAAUUAAAGUUAUAAAAAAUUUUUAGGUUAUAAUAAUUUAAUUAAAUUAAUUAAAUUUAAUUAUAGGGAUAGUAAUGUAGGUGAUAAUCAUGGUGUAUAAAUAUAAAAAAUAAAGUUUAAUUUGGUGUACCUUUUGUUUCAGGGAUUAUUAAAUUAUUGUUUUAAUAUAGGUUAAGAUUUCUCGAAUUUAAAAGAGCGAUUAAAUUAUGAUAGUUAAUGUUACAUAAUUAUUAUUAAUAAUUUAAUAGAGAAUAUAUUUUAUUCAAUUUUAAAGAUAUCUAGUUUUUUUUGAUUAAAUUUAAUUUAGGUUUAAUAUAGAAUAGAAUUUAAGGUUACUUUAUUAUAUUUAAUUUAUUUAUUAGACUUUAGAAUUUAUGGGAUAAACUAUAGGUUUUAUUAAAAUAUAUAAAAAUAAAGUUAUGAGUAUAAUUAUGUUAAUUAUUGUAAAGUAUUAAAGGUAAUUAUAUUAGUAAUAAAUAUAUAAUAAUAAUAUUUAUAAAAUUUGAAAUUUAGGAUAAAAAUUUAAUAAUUUAUAUUUAAUAAAUGAGAAUGAUUUAAAUAAUUAUAUAUUUAAUAAUUUAAAAAAAUAUUAAUUUAAAUUUAAAUAAUUAAUUAAUAAUGAUAAUAUAAGUAUAAUAAAUAUAUUAAAGAUUUGUUAGUAAGUAAUUUUAAUUUAUUAAUUAUGUAUAUUAAUUUAAGGAAUUAGGCAAAUAAUGAAUUCAACUGUUUAUUAAAAACAUAGCCUUUUGACUAUAAUUUAAGGUUAUUUCUGCCCUAUGAAUUUUUUAAAUGGCUGCAGUAUAUUGACUGUGCUAAGGUAGCAUAAUCAAUUGUUUCUUAAUUAGAAACUUGAAUGAAGGAAAAUAUGAGAUUUGAGCUGUCUUGAGUUAAGAUUUAUAAAUUAUUUUUUAAGUAAAAAAACUUAAAUAAUAUUAUGGGACGAGAAGACCCUAUAGAAUUUUAUAUAAUUUUUGUUAUGAAGUUUAUAUUAUAAUUAAUAAUUAUUAUAUUUAGUUGGGAGGACGGUUAAAUAAUUAUAACUUUAAUUGAAAUAAGUUCAUUUAUUAAUGAUUUUUAAAGAAUGAUUAGUAGUUUAAUUAAUAAAGAAUUAAUUACCUUAGGGAUAACAGCGUAAUAUUUUUAGAGAGAUCAUAUUAAUAAGAAUGAUUGCGACCUCGAUGUUGAAUUAAGAUAAAAAUUAGGUGUAGAUUCUUAAUAUUUAGGUCUGUUCGACCUUUAAAAUCUUACAUGAUUUGAGUUUAGAUCGGUGUGAGCCAGAUCGGUUUCUAUCUAUAAUUAGUUUAAAAUUAUUUGUACGAAAGGACUUUAAUUUUUAAUUUUAUUAAAUUACGAUGAAUAUGAAAAUUAUUA
rnacentral:rRNA from 1 species